UACGUAGGGGGCGAGCGUUGUCCGGAAUCAUUGGGCGUAAAGAGCGUGUAGGCGGCCCGGUAAGUCCGCUGUGAAAGUCGGGGGCUCAACCCUCGAAUGCCGGUGGAUACUGUCAGGCUAGAGUGCGGAAGAGGCGAGUGGAAUUCCUGGUGUAGCGGUGAAAUGCGCAGAUAUCAGGAGGAACACCAAUUGCGAAGGCAGCUCGCUGGGACGUAACUGACGCUGAGACGCGAAAGCGUGGGGAGCAAACAGG
rnacentral:rRNA from 1 species